rnacentral:rRNA from 1 species
CCUACGGGUUGCAGCAGUGGGGAAUAUUGCACAAUGGGCGCAAGCCUGAUGCAGCCAUGCCGCGUGUGUGAAGAAGGCCUUCGGGUUGUAAAGCACUUUCAGCGGGGAGGAAGGCGUUAAGGUUAAUAACCUUAGCGAUUAACGUUACCCGCAGAAGAAGCACCGGCUAACUCCGUGCCAGCAGCCGCGGUAAUACGGAGGGUGCAAGCGUUAAUCGGAAUUACUGGGCGUAAAGCGCACGCAGGCGGUCUGUCAAGUCGGAUGUGAAAUCCCCGGGCUCAACCUGGGAACUGCAUUCGAAACUGGCAGGCUAGAGUCUUGUAGAGGGGGGUGGAAUUCCAGGUGUAGCGGUGAAAUGCGUAGAGAUCUGGAGGAAUACCGGUGGCGAAGGCGGCCCCCUGGACAAAGACUGACGCUCAGGUGCGAAAGCGUGGGGAGCAAACAGGAUUAGAUACCCUCGUAG